rnacentral:rRNA from 1 species
CCCUGCCAUUUGUACACACCGCCCGUCGCUACUACCGAUUGAAUGGUUUAGUGAGGCCUCGGGACUGGCGCGAAGAGGCGGUUUCGCCUGUUUGCGCCGGGAACUUGGUCAAACUUGAUCAUUUAGAGGAAGUA